ensembl:lncRNA
GGAAACGCGUAACCUAGAGUCCAAAAAUUAGGAGUUACUUUAGUACCUUACCUCUGUCAUUGAAAUAUUCAAAUUUAUUUUAUAUUCUUAAAGUUGGGACCAAAAUCCGUUGUUAAUAUGUAUAUGUAAAAAAAUUGGUCUUUCCAACAGCUGUAGAACUAAUAAACAUGCAGUGCAUGCUGACAUACACAGAAAAUAAUUAAUAGGGGAAAUAAUAGACAUUAAUGUUCUUGAUUAAUGACAAAAAUGAGAAGAAACAUUGAUUAAAUUCUAAAUGUGAUGGGUCAUGACUUGCCCUUUACAGCAUGUUAUGCUUCAUUAAAAAAAAAAAACUUGGGCACACUGCUCUAUUCUUUUCAUGAAUUCAGUAAACACAUAUGUUUGGGAUAUUCAUGGGUAAUGGAGCCUCUGCUAUUAUAAGUCUAAACUACAUCUCUCAUGUAGCUUUGAAUUUGGACAUCAGAACUCCUUUAUAUACAAUAGAAAAGAUAUAUAGCUGUUUAAUACUUGUUAUAAUCUGGCACAGAAAGAUUGUUACUGUUGUAAUUGGAAGACUUAUGCUCUGAUGUGUUCUUAUCCCAGUAUUGGCCAAUUCAUACUGAGAGCAAACUGCCAUCUGACCAGAGUUUUAGUUUUUCUUCUACUGGGACAUGUUUCCUCUCUGGGUUUAGAGCGAGGCAUUCAGUGGCACUCCACUCCUGAUCCUGACCAGCACUCUGUUCUGACCGCUGCAGAAGUCACAGUGCCUCCAUUCUGGGUGACAAUCCUGCUGAACUCUGACCCGAGUGGAAACCGCUGUGACAGAUGACCCGCUGACUCUUUAAAGACCUGUGAACACGAGAGGAUGUCUGUGCUCGCUGAAGUGGCCAUUCAGGGAUCAGAAGAGCGUUUUGUCCCAGAAUGCAGUGCAGAUGGGUGGUACAGAGCCGUUCAGGACACUGCUGGUGUGUGAGAGUGGACUCAGGAUGGCCCGUGCCGGGCACUUCAGCCAUAUAGAGAGAUUGUGUUUGUGUGUUAGUGAGUGUAGAAAACUGAAAACAUGAUUCUGUACUGUGUGGAGGAACCAAUUGCCUGACUGCAGCCCCCAGGAAACACACGCUCAUCAUCAACAACAACUGCUACACCCAAACCCCUCUCUCAGGUCAGAUCUCAGGCUGGAUGUGAUAAGUUGCACCCAGAAUGGGAAGAAUGUCAAAAGGUUGGGACAACAUGCCUUUACUCAUCUAAACCCAGACUAAGUUGUUCAUACCGGUGUUGUGUCAUAUAUAGGACAUACUUGUGUUUCUGGAAUAAAAAAGGUGAUUUAAAGGUAAUAUCUUAAACUCAGAAUUGCAAAAGUCUGAAUUGUAAGAUAAACCCAGCAUUGAGAGGGGAAAAAAAGUCUGAAUUGAGAUAAACUCAGAACUGAGAGGAAAAGAAGUCUAA